GAUUGAGAGAGUCCAGUAAAACAAGAACCUAUAUCUCUGCUUCAAGAAACGGUAUACCGUCGGUCUGCUGGUUACAUGAAACCAUUCGUAGUACACCAGGCAAAGGGCGCCAACAACUAUCGUCAGCUAUCCGAAGAGACAACUUCACCAACACACUGCAAAAGCAUAGCCGUUGGCCGCGAUUGUGUGCCAACGCCAAGCGAGCCUAUAUCUGUGUCUGCGGGCCAACAUUUGCUAGAAUGGCAGUCAUAACGGGGCUCGCGUUCGCUGUCGCCUGCCAACAUCGUGCCCUGCCUCCAUCUUACUUCUCCUUCCCGGUUGCUAGCGCCUUGUAGACGCAUUCUGGUUUUCGCCAAAGCCCAGCUGCUGAAGGCAAAAAUUAUGCAACGCCAGGCAAGUAAGUGAGCAGAGCUAGGUACUUCGGGACCGAAGACAAAAAACAAAACGGGUAAGCGUGUUGUCAACCAGACGUAGGUCCAGAAUUAUGCCUGUUCGUGUCGAGGGGUUUUGUGUUUUCUGUUGAGAAGGCAAAUCGGCAGCCGAAAAACACCUAAUAACCGCUGAUUAUACCAUUCAUACGAAAACGAGCUCCAAGCUAACAGGUGAGCGAGAGAGAGAGAGAGAGAGAGUACCUGCCAGAGAUAGCACGCCGUAAUUGGAAGGCAAUUAGUUCGUAAGUGUAUUACGGACUUAACACCCGAAAAGCAAAACGGAAAUAGAUAUUCUUAAUGAGGAUGAAUGAUAUCUAUAGACAGAGGAGUACUUCUGGAUGUUAUCCGGGGGACUAACGGAAGAGAUAUUCUGCAAAUAAAUACAGGUUCUAGUGUAUGACUACUCAUCAGGUAUCUUCAGGACGCUUCCCAUCAUCUGAAUAUUUCAAUGCUCUUUUGGCAUCAAAGUUGUCUGUUUGAAGUUGAGAUAUUGAGAAGUGCUGUAAGAGGUAGACAUGGUCCUACGACUUCAACUUCACUAGCCUACACCUUCCCGCAUAACAGUUAGCGAAUACUUUGCAGCCCAGAAGAAUCCUCAUUCAAGAAAGUUAGCACACCGGAGCACACCGACAGGACAGUUAUGAUGAACCUUCGCUCCAAUAAAAUCGCUCGCCGAUGUGAGUGAUGAUGCAGCGCUAUCUAGGCAGUAGGAUGGCUGUACAAAAAUAAAACAAGGUGUCACAUACUGCUUCUUCGCUUGCCAAGCGAUCCGAUGCGACCGUGCACACGUUUGCGUCCCCUUUUUUCCCGCGUGUGGACCCCGAUAGUCUUGAACUUGAACCUUUUUGACGUGGUGAGCACGCGCGACCGAUAUCGCAAAAAAACCGGGCCAGAGCGGAACGUCGUGUCGCAGCAGAAAUGCGCGCAUCAACAAUAAGUGAGGUGUCGAGUUUGCACCACCGAACGACUUCGGACUUUGGGUGCACAGCAAACAAACAAACUAAGGGGGGAAAAAAAAACUGCGUUCAUCGCUCAUAUCUAACGUCCAUUUUGUUGGUGCAGAAAGCGAAAAGUGUGGAGAGAGAGAGAGUGAGUUGGUUCCUCGGUAAGCAAAACAGGUGCUGCUGACCACUCGAGAAGUUACCACCCCACCAGAGAGCCACCGGGCCGGCAAUCAUUUGUUGUGGCCCGUGUAAACGCUCCGCAGAGGACCGUGAGAAGCGGGCCUCAAGGGCGGAUCUCGGAAGUCCUAAUCUUCUUCCACUGCCCCAUCGUGGCCAAUUUGCUGUACGCUGUUGUGUGUAUGUGUGUGUACACGUGUCGAGCUAUCGCGGGAGGGUUUUGCCAUUUGCCACGUCGCCCGGCACAGGAGCACUUGGCUUCAAUUAAAUGCCAUGACAACGAACCGUGAGGACAACACCAAUUCCGAUAUCUCGAGUGGUGAGAGCUCUUGUGAACGAGCUCGGGCAGGCAAACCUGAAACCGAAACCACUCGUCGGAUGGCCGGUGUCGCAUACAACCCCCCAGCGACAACGACACGGAGCGAAUUAAUACCCGGUAAAAUGGCGGUCGAUACUGGACAGUGCAGAGAAUCGAGAUAAUUAGGUGUUUGCAGCGCUGAGUUCGCGUAAUCGUGGAGCACCCAGUAGCGAUGAAGAUGUAACACCAAUGUUCCAGGGGCGGAGGGUUAUGAUGUCAUCCCGCCAGAGUGUUCCCCCGAAAAGUCUACCAAUCUCAAUUAAGACACAAUGGCCGACAAACCUUACAUGGCAGUGCAUGCACUGACUGCAAGCGGCCUGACAGUUUCUGGCCAGUCUUCCGGUGAUAUGGACUGCCGUCGAUAAGACAAAUAUCAGAUUUGUUUGACAGCCCUAUACCGCCGCUCGCGCACCGGCCCAAGAUACUAUCGCAGUCCACUAAAUGUGCCCAGUGGUGUAUCUUUACCUUCACGUCCGGUCCGGCACCGAAAUGAUAAGAUAACGACGGCCCUAACAGUCUCGACCGUACGCCUGUUCCCGUCUAUUACCACCUGCGUACAAUAAAUGGACCCACCCUCGCUCGCGUGUGUUAUGCUGUAAUU